GACGAACCGUGCGAACGUUGUUCGGAUUCACUGGGCUUAAAGGGCGCGUAGGCGGAUUACCAAGUCGGGGGUGAAAUCUUUCGGCUCAACCGGAAAAUAGCCUUCGAUACUGGUAGUCUUGAGGGAGGUAGGGGCAGGUGGAACUUCUGGUGGAGCGGUGAAAUGCGUAGAUAUCAGAAGGAACGCCGGUGGCGAAAGCGACCUGCUGGAUCUCCUCUGACGCUGAGGCGCGAAAGCUAGGGGAGCAAACGGG
rnacentral:rRNA from 2 species